ensembl:lncRNA
GACUAAUGGGUGGGAAUGGAAAAGGUUGGACAAAAAGAUGAAUCACCGUCUGGGUGGAUUUACCUCCUAGAGGCUGUUGGCAGUACCUCGAGGUUAGAAGGAAGCAAAUGCCACCAAGAGCCUGCAAGUAAGUGGGACCAGCACUUGGCCCUGCUGCUCGACCCGAAGCCUAGCUCUUCACACGGGGGCUCUCCCCCCGACGGAGCCCAAGAGCAGCUCUACAGAGCAACAGAAAAAGUUCACCCCCUGAGGACAAAAAGUAGACCUUCAGACUUCUCUGCAAACCUCCAGAACUCAGCUAAACAUAGAGCAGGGGCAGCUGGUUUAUGAUGCUUCACAGGUGAUGAGAAAAAAUAUCCCCAACCUGGCCGGGAGAUGCCGCGCAGCCCUAAGGGACAGAGCACUGAGAACGGAACCGGAGACUCCUGCCCUUGCAGCUCUCCUUGCAGCCUGCUCCUGCACUGGCAGAUAGAUUCUUCACCACUGAGCCACCUGCGAAGCCCCAUAUAGUUUCUUACUCAAAUGCAAUUAAAGUGUAUUUAUACACCAUCCUCCAUGUAUAAAUGGCACUCUGCUGGGAUCUGUACUAUAAAGAGACACAAUAAAC